UAGGAAGACUAGACAAUCGCCCCGGCAUACGCCAGGGAGGAAAGUCCGAACACCCGCCAUUCGGCGGGCAGGCCGCAUGGCCUGCCUAAUGAUGACGAUAAAAAUAGUUGCUAACAGCAACCAGUAUAAGAAUGUGAAGAAAACCCCUCGAGAGUUUUAUUCAGAUUCAAAGCUCGGGCAAGUGCAACAGAAAGUAUACCGCCUAAGCCGGCACAUGCCGGACGGUAAGGUUGAAACCGUGAGGUAAGAGCUCACGCGCUUGUGCGGUGACGCGCAAGAAGAGGCAAACCCUAUUUGGUGAAAGAGUAAAUUUGGUAGCUCGUCUGAGCCAUGCAGCAAUGUAUGAUCUAGAUAGAUGAUUGUCACCCGGCAUACGCCAGGUACUAAAUUCGGCUUAUAGGUUUUCCUAUCCA
rnacentral:RNase_P_RNA from 2 species